rnacentral:rRNA from 1 species
UCUUGCCUACGGGGGGCAGCAGUCGGGAAUAUUGCGCAAUGGAGGAAACUCUGACGCAGUGACGCCGCGUAUAGGAAGAAGGUUUUCGGAUUGUAAACUAUUGUCGUGAGGGAAGAAGAUGACAGUACCUCAGGAGGAAGCUCCGGCUAACUAUGUGCCAGCAGCCGCGGUAAUACAUAGGGAGCAAGCGUUAUCCGGAUUUACUGGGUGUAAAGGGAGCGUAGACGGCGAAGAAAGUCUGAAGUGAAAGCCCGCGGCUCAACCGCGGAAUGGCUUUGGAAACUUUUUUGCUGGAGUACCGGAGG